rnacentral:hammerhead_ribozyme from 1 species
AUACAGCUAACGAGUCCAAAAUAGGACGAAACGCGCGUCAAACUGGAU